GCGGAGCAGGCAAAGAACAAUACCGCAAAAGAUGCUUAAGUUGGUACUUAGUUCUUCCACAGUAAAGAUUAUUUUGAAAUUAUUUCUUUCUUUUCGAACAGACUCCUCGCAGAACUGAAGAGAGAAAUUGAACAGGCGAAUGCACGUCCACUCGCAUGCACCGCCGAGAGCCAGACUUGCUCUCCACCUACAAAAAGCAUAGGGAGUGAAUGCAAUACUGAAUGCGCCGAGGCUGAUGUCCAGGCCACUAGUGAAGUGACAGUGGCGUCAGUUGAGACACAAACGGAUGCUGUACCAGAGUUUUUUUUCUAUAGAGGCGCCCACACCGUGCAGUUCGUGCAUGCAGAGCUUCCGUGAGAGCCUGCGCGGUCUGCGCAACCGCCAGCUGCACGGCUCUGAUGCAUCCUAAGCGACUUACAGUAGAAGCUAGCACACCUUUAAAGGACACCCUGCAGCAACAAUAUGAUAGUACAUUUGGAUGUGCUGUUUCUCAGGGUGCUAGCUACUACAAUAAGCAGACCAUAAGAAGAUGCCUGGGUCUCGAUGUUAACAAAGAAAAAGUAUUAACGCAUUACACUUCUACAUCAGUUUGAUAUAAUUUAUAAUUUUAAGCAAUUGUUAAUAUCUUUUAAAAAAAUGUUUAUAUAAUUCGAAUGAUUUUGAAACUGAUA